rnacentral:rRNA from 1 species
UAUUGGACAAUGGGCGCAAGCCUGAUCCAGCCAUACCGCGUGGGUGAAGAAGGCCUUCGGGUUGUAAAGCCCUUUUGUUGGGAAAGAAAAGCAGCCGGCUAAUACCCGGUUGUUCUGACGGUACCCAAAGAAUAAGCACCGGCUAACUUCGUGCCAGCAGCCGCGGUAAUACGAAGGGUGCAAGCGUUACUCGGAAUUACUGGGCGUAAAGCGUGCGUAGGUGGUUGUUUAAGUCUGUCGUGAAAGCCCUGGGCUCAACCUGGGAACUGCGAUGGAAACUGGGCGACUAGAGUGUGGUAGAGGGUAGCGGAAUUCCUGGCGUAGCAGUGAAAUGCGUAGAUAUCAGGAGGAACAUCCAUGGCGAAGGCAGCUACCUGGGCCAACACUGACACUGAGGCACGAAAGCGUGGGGAGCAAACAGG